rnacentral:lncRNA from 1 species
GCCAAGCACACACAUUCACACCGCAUGCACACACACCACACACAUAUGCAUACACAUCACACUCACACCACACGCACCACACUCACACCCCACAUGCAUUUAUAUACACACAUCACACAUAUUACACACACAUCCACACGCACCAUGCACUCACACACCACAUGCAUGUGUACACACACACACCUACGUGAUGCACCAACACUCACACACCACCUGCAUAUAUAUACACUUUGCACACAGGUACACACAUC